GGCUUUUUUUUCCUUGCUUUUUCCCCCCCUUUCUCCCACCCCCUUCUCUGCUGAUCCCCGAGACCUGCGUUUUCCUGGGGGUCCGAAACUCUGGAUCCAAGGCAUGAGCCACCCCCUCAGGACAACUCGUAUCUCAUCAGAGAACCCCCUUGCCCAUGUCCACCCAUAAGCAGAUGGCCUCCAACCCCCACCCUAGGAGGAUUUCUGAAUGGGGUGAAAAUGCCAGUCCCCGAAGCCAGGGUUUCCGGACCCCAAGGGCCGAGCUGGGCGCGGGAGCCCCGCAGGGGCGCAGAGGCCGCCGAGCUUGAAGAAGUGGAGGAGAGAUCUACACAACUUAAAUGGGUCGUCCCCAUCCCAUCUUCCUACUCACCCUCCUUUGCACUCAACUCCAUCUCAGAGACACUCACUCUGCCCCCCCCCAAUAAAAAGAAGUCACCCCCUCUUCAGUCUGCAGAGAGCCAGGGUGAGAGCAGGCAAGGCGAGAGAGCGACCUCGGUCGUGGGCAAGUAGCUUGUUUUUACGUCCUUCAAUAAAAUUUUUAUGAGGAUCA